UUUUCGGAGAGUUUGAUUCUGGCUCAGAACGAACGCUGGCGGCGUGGAUAAGACAUGCAAGUCGAACGAGAUCCUUAGCAAAGCUUGCUUUGCUAAGUCUAGUGGCGAACGGGUGAGUAACACGUGAGCAACCUGCCCAGAAGCAGGGGAUAAACCACCGAAAGGUGGUCUAAUACCGUAUGUGAUUUCAAGAGGCAUCUCUUGAGGAUCAAAGCGGGGUUCUUUUUAUACCUCGCACUUCUGGAUGGGCUCGCGGCCUAUCAGCUAGUUGGUAAGGUAACGGCUUACCAAGGCGACGACGGGUAACUGGUCUGAGAGGAUGAUCAGUCACACUGGAACUGAGACACGGUCCAGACACCUACGGGUGGCAGCAGUCGAGAAUCAUUCACAAUGGGCGAAAGCCUGAUGGUGCGACGC
rnacentral:rRNA from 1 species